ensembl:snRNA U6 U6 spliceosomal RNA
GUGCUCGCUUCAGCAGCACAUGUACUAAAACUGGACUGAUACAUAGAAGAUUAGCGUGGCCCCUGCCCAAGAGGACACACAAAUUCGUGAAGCGUUCCAAAGUUUA